GGUUAAGUGACUAAGCGUACACGGUGGAUGCCUUGGCAGUCAGAGGCGAUGAAGGACGUGCUACCCUGCGAAAAGGGUUGGUGAGCUGGGAUGGAGCGCUAUAGCCAACCAUGUCCGAAUGGGGAAACCCACCUAAGAUAACUUAGGUAUCGUUAGAUGAAUACAUAGUCUAACGAGGCGAACCGGGAGAACUGAAACAUCUAAGUACCCCGAGGAAAAGAAAUCAACCGAGAUUCCGUUAGUAGCGGCGAGCGAACGCGGAGCAGCCCAGAGUCUGAAUCAGUGGAUGCGUUAGUGGAACGGAUUGGAAAGUCCGGCGAUACAGGGUGAUAGCCCCGUACACGAAGACGCAUUGCUGUGAGCUCGAUGAGUAGGACGGGACACGUGGUAUCCUGUUUGAAGAUGGGGGGACCAUCCUCCAAGGCUAAAUACUCCUGACUGACCGAUAGCGAACCAGUACCGUGAGGGAAAGGCGAAAAGAACCCCUGUGAGGGGAGUGAAAUAGAACCUGAAACCGUGUACGUACAAGCAGUGGGAGCACCUUCGUGGUGUGACUGCGUACCUUUUGUAUAAUGGGUCAGCGACUUACAUUUUGUAGCGAGGUUAACCGAAUAGGGG
rnacentral:rRNA from 1 species